rnacentral:rRNA from 1 species
ACGUAGGGUGCAAGCGUUAAUCGGAAUUACUGGGCGUAAAGCGUGCGCAGGCGGUGAUGUAAGACAGAUGUGAAAUCCCCGGGCUCAACCUGGGAACUGCAUUUGUGACUGCAUCGCUGGAGUGCGGCAGAGGGGAUGGAAUUCCGCGUGUAGCAGUGAAAUGCGUAGAUAUCAGGAGGAACACCUGUGGUGUAGACAGCUUACUGGACCAUUUCUGACGCUGAGACACGAAAGCGUGGGUAGCAAACAGGA